UAGGGAAUCUUCGGCAAUGGACGAAAGUCUGACCGAGCAACGCCGCGUGUGUGAAGAAGGUUUUCGGAUCGUAAAACUCUGUUGUUAGAGAAGAACAAGGACGUUAGUAACUGAACGUCCCCUGACGGUAUCUAACCAGAAAGCCACGGCUAACUACGUGCCAGCAGCCGCGGUAAUACGUAGGUGGCAAGCGUUGUCCGGAUUUAUUGGGCGUAAAGAGAGCGCAGGCGGUUUCUUAAGUGUGAUGUGAAAGCCCCCGGCUCAACCGGGGAGGGUCAUUGGAAACUGGGAGACUGGAGGGCAGAAGAGGAGAGUGGAAUUCCAUGUGUAGCGAUGACAUGCGUAGAUAUAUGGAAGAACACCAGUAGCGAAGGCGGCUUACUGGUCUGAAACUGACGCUGAGGAUCGAAAGCGUGUGGAGCAAACAAG
rnacentral:rRNA from 1 species